GUGUGAGCCUCUGUACUCAGCCCAUAUUUUGAUAUAUUUUCUUCUGGUGUUUGUCCUGUAGAUAUGUUGGGAUUAUACGGAUGCUAAAUUGCUUUUUUCAUUUACUAUUAUAUCAAGAGCAUUUCUCAAGAUCAUAAAAUAUUUUUUAAUCAUG
ensembl:lncRNA novel transcript